ACGCUGGCGGCGUGCUUAACACAUGCMAGUCGAACGAUGAAGCUGUGCUUGCACAGUGGAUUAGUGGCGAACGGGUGAGUAACACGUGAGUAACCUGCCCUCCACUUUGGGAUAACUCCGAGAAAUCGGGGCUAAUACUGGAUAUGACUAUGGCCCGCAUGGGUUGUGGUGGAAAGUUUUUCGGUGGGGGAUGGGCUCGCGGCCUAUCAGUUUGUUGGUGAGGUAGUGGCUCACCAAGGCGAUGACGGGUAGCCGGCCUGAGAGGGCGACCGGCCACACUGGGACUGAGACACGGCCCAGACUCCUACGGGAGGCAGCAGUGGGGAAUAUUGCACAAUGGGCGAAAGCCUGAUGCAGCGACGCCGCGUGGGGGAUGACGGCCUUCGGGUUGUAAACCUCUUCAGCAAGGAAGAAGC
rnacentral:rRNA from 1 species